ACCCUUCUCUGAGGCCACUAAGACACUGCUACAAGGAUUUGUGGGCCAGUGACUUAUGAAGGCAGCACCUUCCAGGAGGGACCAGCGAAGGCAGUGGGGGAAAGCAGGAGAGCAAGUCCUCCCAUCAAAAUGUGGAACACUCUAGCCCCUUCCUCGGAAGAUGAGCUGGACUUCCAGACUCUCAUGGAAUGAACAGAAUACGGCAGAAGUGAUACUACAUGAUUUCCAAGACUAGGUCACAAAAGGUUGUUUCCUCUGCUGAAAUGACCCUUCCUCCUUUGGCCAACCUGGAAAACUACUAUUUGGCCUUCAGAACCCAGUUCCAACAUCACUUCCAGAAGCCUUCCUCGACUCCUCCCAUCACCUCUGUGCUUCUUCACUCCGUGUUGUAAUUUUCUCUCCCUCUACCCCAUACACAGUGAAUUCCUUAAUGGAGAUCCUGCUGCCUUUUUUUUUUUUUUUUGAGAGAGCAAGCAGGAGCAGAUGGGAGGGGCAUGCAGAGCAGAGAGGCCGCCCAGAACCCUGGGAUCAUGACCUGAGCCAAAGGCAGACACUUAACUGACUGAACCUCCCAGGCACCCCAAUCCUGCUUCAUCCUAACAAGGGCAACGUACAAUGUUAGCACACAUUGGAAAAUCAAUAUUGAAAUUUAGUAUUGCUUACUACGUUUUAUUCUGCAUGAGAAUUUUGGAAAGUCGGUAUUGAAAAGGGUGGUACUUUUAAAACCCAAAUCACUACUUUGCUCAAAACCCUGUAGUGGCUCCCCAUUUUACUCAAAGAAAAAACCAAGGUCCCUACAAUGGCCUCCAAGAGGUUCAUAUAAGAAUUUGUCCUGUUUCGGGGCGCCUGGGUGGUUCAGUGGGUUAAAGCCUCUGCCUUCGGCUCAGGUCAUGAUCUCAGGCUCCUGGGAUCGAGC